GGGUGAGUAACACGUGGGUAAUCUACCUUAAAGUCUGGAAUAACCUGCCGAAAGGCGGGCUAAUACUGGAUAGAGCGACGGAAUCCGUAAUUGGGUUUUUCGGGAAAGGGAGCUCGCAAGAGCCCUCGCUUUAGGAUGAGCCUGCGUCCCAUUAGCUAGUUGGUAGGGUAAUGGCCUACCAAGGCAAUGAUGGGUAGCUGGUCUGAGAGGAUGAUCAGCCACACUGGAACUGAAACACGGUCCAGACUCC
rnacentral:rRNA from 1 species